rnacentral:rRNA from 1 species
AACGAACGCUGGCGGCAUGCCUAACACAUGCAAGUCGAACGAGACCUUCGGGUCUAGCGGCGCACGGGUGCGUAACGCGUGGGAACCUGCCCUUAGGUUCGGAAUAACUUCCCGAUAGGGGUGCUAAUACCGGAUAAUGUCUUCGGACCAAAGAUUUAUCGCCUUUGGAUGGGCCCGCGUUGGAUUAGCUAGUUGGUAGGGUAAAAGCCUACCAAGGCGACGAUCCAUAGCUGGUCUGAGAGGAUGAUCAGCCACACUGGGACUGAGACACGGCCCAGACUCCUACGGGAGGCAGCAGUGGGGAAUAUUGGACAAUGGGCGAAGGCCUGAUCCAGCAAUGCCGCGUGAGUGAUGAAGGCCUUAGGGUUGUAAAGCUCUUUUACCCGGGAUGAUAAUGACAGUACCGGGAGAAUAAGCUCCGGCUAACUCCGUG